rnacentral:rRNA from 1 species
GAUGAACGCUGGCGGCGUGCUUAACACAUGCAAGUCGAACGAAGCUGUUAAAAGGAAGUCUUCGGAUGGAAUUUUAACAGACUUAGUGGCGGACGGGUGAGUAACGCGUGGAUAACCUGCCUUAUACAGGGGGAUAACGGAGAGAAAUUUCCGCUAAGACCGCAUAAGACCACAGCACCGCAUGGUGCAGGGGUAAAAUAUUAAUAGGUAUAAGAUGGAUCCGCGUCCGAUUAGCUGGUUGGUGAGGUAGAGGCUCACCAAGGCGACGAUCGGUAGCCGGCCUGAGAGGGUGAACGGCCACAUUGGGACUGAGACACGGCCCAAACUCCUACGGGAGGCAGCAGUGGGGAAUAUUGGACAAUGGGGGAAACCCUGAUCCAGCGACGCCGCGUGAGUGAAGAAGUAUUUCGGUAUGUAAAGCUCUAUCAGCAGGGAAGAAAAUGAC